rnacentral:tRNA from 4 species
GACUGCUUGGCGCAAUGGUAGCGCGCGGUCCUCCUAAAAAUAACGUCUAUCGUCAUCUUUAGGCAGUGAAAGACUGAGGUUGCGGGUUCGAGUCCCGUGGUGGUCG